CCCCGGUGAAAAUAUAGUCUAUUCCAAAGCUGAUUUCGACGUACUUUAGCUUUUCAGAAACCGUUGGCCUUCCUCAGUAAGAUUAUCAACUGUUUCACAAACAUAUUUGAUAGUAAACAGCUAAAAUAUUCUCCGAAAGUCUAUAUUUUUGCUCUUCGACGCGAAAAUGGCAACUCAAGAAGAAAUGAGCCGCUAUUUUUG